rnacentral:rRNA from 1 species
GAUGAACGCUAGCGGCAGGCUUAACACAUGCAAGUCGAGGGGUAUGCCGAUUUAUCGGCAGAGACCGGCGCACGGGUGCGUAACGCGUAUGCAAUCUACCUUUCGCAGAGGGAUAGCCCAGAGAAAUUUGGAUUAAUACCUCAUAGUAUAGCAGUUUCGCAUGAAACCACUAUUAAAGUUCCAACGGUGAAAGAUGAGCAUGCGUCCCAUUAGCUAGAUGGUAAGGUAACGGCUUACCAUGGCUACGAUGGGUAGGGGUCCUGAGAGGGAGAUCCCCCCACACUGGUACUGAGACACGGACCAGACUCCUACGGGAGGCAGCAGUGAGGAAUAUUGGUCAAUGGACGCAAGUCUGAACCAGCCAUGCCGCGUGCAGGAUGACGGUCCUAUGGAUUGUAAACUGCUUUUGUACGAGAAGAAACAACAUUACGUGUAAUGUCUUGACGGUAUCGUAAGAAUAAGGAUCGGCUAACUCCGUGCCAG